AAAUACAAGUGUACGCACGACAACAACUGCACUAAGUUCCUCAACAAGCCUGGGGGAAAUGGUCUUCCGACGGGCAGGUGUGUACGUUUCAACGACACCCUUAAUACCUGUGAGAUCAGAGGCUGGUGCCAGGCGGAGAUCGACUACAUCAAGACGCAUCCUAUGAUGGAGGUGGAGAACUUCACCAUCUUCAUCAAGAACAGCAUUCGUUUCCCCCUCUUCAACUUCACCAAG